AACCUCCGCAAUGUGAGAAAUCGCGACGGGGGGAUCCCAAGUGCCAUUCUUAACGGGAUGGCUUUUCAUUAGUGUAAAGAGCUUUUGGAAUAAGGGCUGGGCAAGACCGGUGCCAGCCGCCGCGGUAACACCGGCAGCUCUAGUGGUAGCAGUUUUUAUUGGGCCUAAAGCGUCCGUAGCCGGUUUAAUAAGUCUCUGGUGAAAUCCUGUAGCUUAACUGUGGGAAUUGCUGGUGAUACUGUUGAACUUGAGGUCGGGAGAGGUUAGCGGUACUCCCAGGGUAGAGGUGAAAUUCUGUAAUCCUGGGAGGACCGCCUGUUGCGAAGGCGUCUAACUGGAACGGUUCUGACGGUGAGGGACGAAAGUUAGGGGCGCGAAACCGGAUUAGAUACCCGGGUAGUCCUAACUGUAAACGAUGCGGACUUGGUGUUGGGGUGGCUUUGAGCUGCUCCAGUGCCGAAGGGAAGCUGUUAAGUCCGCCGCCUGGGAAGUACGGUCGCAAGACUGAAACUUAAAGGAAUU
rnacentral:rRNA from 1 species